UGGUUGCAUAGGCUUGACGUGCUUAUGC
rnacentral:piRNA from 1 species